AGAGUUUGAUCCUGGCUCAGAACGAACGCUGGCGGCAUGCCUAACACAUGCAAGUCGAACGAAGGCUUCGGCCUUAGUGGCACACGGGUGCGUAACGCGUGGGAAUCUGCCCUUGGGUUCGGAAUAACAGUGAGAAAUUACUGCUAAUACCGGAUGAUGACUUCGGUCCAAAGAUUUAUCGCCCAAGGAUGAGCCCGCGUAAGAUUAGCUAGUUGGUGAGGUAAAGGCUCACCAAGGCGACGAUCUUUAGCUGGUCUGAGAGGAUGAUCAGCCACACUGGGACUGAGACACGGGCCAGACUCCUACGGGAGGCAGCAGUGGGGAAUAUUGGACAAUGGGCGAAAGCCUGAUCCAGCAAUGCCGCGUGAGUGAUGAGGGCCUUAGGGAUGAAAAGCUCUUUUACCAGGGAUGAUAAUGACAGUACCUGGAGAAUAAGCUGCGGCUAACUCCGUGCCAGCAGUCGCGGUAAUACGGAGGGAGCUAGCGUUGCUCGGAAUUACU
rnacentral:rRNA from 1 species